CGCGAAGAACCUUACCAAGUCUUGACAUCCUUUGACCACCCUAGAGAUAGGGCUUUCCCUUCGGGGACAAAGUGACAGGUGGUGCAUGGUUGUCGUCAGCUCGUGUCGUGAGAUGUUGGGUUAAGUCCCGCAACGAGCGCAACCCCUAUUAUUAGUUGCCAGCAUUCAGUUGGGCACUCUAAUGGGACUGCCGGUGACAAACCGGAGGAAGGUGGGGAUGACGUCAAAUCAGCAUGCCCCUUAUGACUUGGGCUACACACGUGCUACAAUGGAUGGUACAACGAGUCGCAAACCCGCGAGGGCAAGCAAAUCUCUUAAAGCCAUUCUCAGUUCGGAUUGCAGGCUGCAACUCGCCUGCAUGAAGCCGGAAUCGCUAGUAAUCGUGGAUCAGCACGCCRCGGUGAAUACGUUCCCGGGUCUUGUACACACC
rnacentral:rRNA from 1 species